rnacentral:rRNA from 1 species
GACGAACGCUAGCGGCGUGCUUAACACAUGCAAGUCGAACGGUGAAGGCGGAGCUUGCUCCGCCGGAUCAGUGGCGAACGGGUGAGUAACACGUGGGCAACCUGCCCCUCACUUCGGGAUAACUCCGGGAAACCGGGGCUAAUACCGAAUACGACCUCCUUGGGCAUCCCGGGAGGUGGAAAGUUUUUCGGUGAGGGAUGGGCCCGCGGCCUGUCAGCUUGUUGGUGAGGUAACGGCUCACCAAGGCGACGACGGGUAGCCGGCCUGAGAGGGCGACCGGCCACACUGGGACUGAGACACGGCCCAGACUCCUACGGGAGGCAGCAGUGGGGAAUAUUGCGCAAUGGGCGAAAGCCUGACGCAGCAACGCCGCGUGCGGGAUGAAGGCCUUCGGGUUGUAAACCGCUUUCAGCAGGGAAGAAGCCGCAAGGUGACGGUACCUGCAGAAGAAGCACCGGCUAACUACGUGCCAGCCGCCGCAGUAA